GUGACUGGGAGGGAGCUGAUCAUCCCCCUUGAUUAUCCCCUUGCCAGUCCCUCCUGCACACUCAGAGCUUUCUAUCUUUGCGCAUUUUUUAUUUAAUAAAUUGGGGAGCUCGUGAUGUUUUCCUUUCUUCUCUGCUUGAUCAGUGCCAGGAGAAGAAUGGUAACACGAACAGCAUCAGAGUGUGAAAAUAUUGUCCGGGAGGGAGAGGGACGGAGCGGUGGUGAAUGCACUUUGCGAUACGAUAACGGUGCCUAGAAGGGGGGAGGGUUACAAACUCCCCCUGUGAACUGUGAGGAUUGGUGGUGACUCGAGGCUUGUAACAAAAGUUUCUUCUAACCAACUCCCAGUUUGGGGGUGACGCGGAGAGACAGAGGGGAAAGGAAAUUGGCCCUGAGAGCAAAGAAUAGCUCAUCUUCUUUUAUAUAUGCUGCCAUUUGCCAUGAAGAGAAAACAGAAGAGAUUUUUGCAAAUGACGUUGUUGUUCAUGGUGGCUUUAAUUUUCCUGCCUAAUAUUGGUCUGUGGUCUUUGUACAAGGAUAAACACCUGGUGAAAUCCCCAGAGCCAGGAGAGCAGCAGUAUCAAAGCAUCUAGGACUUCCAGUCAUUGUGCUCAACACUGUACAAACACAGAACAAAAGGACAGUUCCUGCCCUGAAACUCUUACAACUUACCGAAAAGAAUCCAAAACUAAUCCAAAACAUUUCCCCUAUGAAGAAUCUAAGGCCCUGAUCCUGCACUGAACUCAGAGCAGGUGGACCCCUGCAUCCGUACAGAGAUCCAUUGAAGUCAAUGAGCUAUUGUGGGUUCAGGUGUCUGUCCAAAGGGAGCACAGUACAGAAUCGGGACAUAAGUUAGAAGAAGAACAGCUCAGCUGUAUUAAAAAUGUCAAAAAAUAGCUAUAUUAUGGCCCUGAUCCAGCAAAACACUUAGGCAUGUAUUGACUUCAGUGAUAUAACUCUAUGUUCAUAAAGUUAAGCACACGUUUAAAUGCUUUGCUUGAUUGGGGCCUAGGAGAGGGGAAUGUUUGAAUGGUCACAUUAAAAAAGGUAAAACACACUGCAGAAACAUGUGAAUUUGAAGGUUGAUAAUUUAAUCACAAAGCAACUUGGGAAAUUCUCAAUUAAGAUUCCCACACCUACUCUACCCCACCCUCAGCCAGUCAGGUGGAGCAGACUAGGCUGACUAAAAUAAGCUGCAGCAUACAUCUUUGCCCUUCCCUCAAAAUUAAUGGAAAGCCUUUUUGUGGGCAGGGGCAAUGGGUGUGUGUGUGUGUGGAACCAGCCCAGUAAACUCUUUCCCUUGUCUUUGGUUGACAUGAUCUCAGCCUAUUAUGUCAGUUCCCAUCUGAAAAUGUUUUAAUAGAGAUACCUCAGAGUACAUGGUGUACUGGCAAGCCCAAGUCUCUUAUGAUUCAUGGCUUGCUAGACAUGAUGUACAGGACCUUGUGCUGCCAGUUUUUGGAGAAGGUUCUACUGCUGGAACCUUCCUCAAAAUAGUUCUACAAUUAUGGAGGAGCAUUCCCAAAUCCUUGUGUACCUGCUUGGGAUCUAAUGACUGUGUGGCUGGGGAGUGCAGACUCUGUGCCCAGAUAUUCUUGUCAGCAGCGCUAAUCUCCCAAGAAGGAGUGGGAUGGAUGAGAUGAGGGUAUUCUAUUCUAAAUGUUUUUACACUACUUUCAUCAGUGGACUAUCCCAGCACCCUCCACUAGGUGGUGUGACUAACAUCUGUCCUGUGGUUCUCUCAACCUCUCCCUAAGGAGAAAAUUGUGUUCAGUGUUUGAUUUUGGUAGUGGUUGUUUAAAUAUAUGUGUGUGUCAGUGCUGAAUUUGUAAUGAAAGAGGUGUCAAGGCUCAAACUAGGUGGCUGGAGAAUGGCGGCUGCUAGCUGAGUGCCCAGCUUUGAAGGCAAUGCCUCUGCCAGCAGCAGCACAGAAGGGUGGCGUGGUAUGGUGCAUUGUCACCCUUACUUCUGCACUGCUGCUGGCAGCCAGAGAGUGGCAGUUGCUGACCGGGAGCCCAGAGGUCUUUGAAAUGCAAAGACUAGAGGUGUCUUGGCUCAGCCCCAGCAAGCCAUGGCACAAAUGAAGCAUUGGUGUGUGUGUGUACUGCUAUUUUGUGUUUCUGUUAAAGAAGGCAAGGUCAAAGUGCACCAUACAAUUGGAAGGUUUGUUAUGGUCCUUAGUUCCUGGGGGAGUUUGUUCCACAGUCUGGUAGUGACCCCACAAAAAGCUCUGUCUCUUGCACAGAAGAGCUUUACCUUUUGCACAGUCCUGCCACCCUAUCCUGAAACUAUCUCAGCUCAUGGGUCAGCUAGUAAAACUAGUCAGCCAGAAAGGUGAAUGCAAUCUGCACCUGAUCUCCUUCCAGUAUGAAUGCUUCAGAAGGAUUUUUUUUUCUGGGGCUCCAGCUGUGACUCAGCUACUUUGCAUUGUCUUCCAGCUCAGGGUAGUUCUUAAAGUUACAGCCUAACACACUUGUUGAUUUUAUUAACCAUUUUAAUGGCAAUUUAAACAUGUACUAAAGAUUUCCAAGAAAGGUUAAACAAACACACAGUGGUCAUGUAAUGGGGAAAGAUCUCCCCUAUUCAGUCUCACAGCAUACCACACUCUCUCUCUCUAAAAAGAAAUACAUUUCAAGGUAUUAAUUAUUGUUUGGAUUUCUCAUUUGAGUGCUGUGAAAAUUAUUAUAUUUGGUUCCAUAAAUCUUGGAACUUUUUAGAUUACUUUUCUAAGGAGUGAUUGUGACACAUUAGCAUGGAGCGUGCAUGAAGAACACACAUUAAUGCCACAUUACAAGAAGUAUAUUGCUAUCUUACAGGCUCUGAUAAAUGACUACAUUUUAAGUUGUCUUUGAUAUGUACACAAAAUGAAUGACAAGCUUGAAUGGAUGUUGUUUAUCCAGAAUGCUUCAAUAUAAACUGAAGUGACAAUCAAAUUGCUGAUCAAAUUUUGCAAUUAUAACAUCAAUAUAAAAAUGUAAAUCUGGAACUUUUGACAUUAAGUAAAGUCAAGGGUGCUCUAUUAAAAUAAUGGUCACAAAGCACAACAAGGAAAGAGAGAUACAAAGGAGUUGGGAUAGUUACAAGAAUUACCUGAAACCCCCACAAAAUUGAUGUAUGAAAGCAUCACAGCAAAAUAUUGAAUAUUUUUUUAACUUGUGUUGCAUACAGAAUUAGUUUGUUCAGUAUAGUAGAUCCCCCAACAAUAGUAAGGGCAUCCUGGAAAAAUAAUUGAAACUGUCAGAUACAUUUUGCCAACAGAUGUUGAGUGGUAGGGAAUUUUCUCUAAGUAUGUCAAGAAGCUCCAUCCUAUAAUGGUCAAAUCUUAUUUUCCUUCUUGGUUUAUCAAAGCCCCAAAAGAAAAAGCUUUAGAAUCUUCCUUAUGGCAUAGAAGGCCCAUAAAGAGAGAGAGCCCCCAAUAAAAGUACUGCCAAAACAUUCAUCAGCAUAAUCCAACCAAUUCUAUAAUAUGAGAGAGAAAUCUCGAUCUAACUCUAACAAUAGGUUGCACUAACUAGGCUAAAACCCCAAUAGUAACCCAACAACUGCAGUUCUGCAAACACUGCAGGUGUACAGGAACUCCAGCUACACCAGCUGCAGAGUGUGAUGGGGCUGAUGCCCCAUGCUAAUCAAAGAAGAAAAGAAUAUUCAGCCUCUGGUAUCACCUCAAUCAAAGCAGCAAACACUCCCUUCACCACAAAACACUUGAGGAUUAAAAGCUAUAUCCAAAUGAAAACCCAAUCCAGUUAUUUGUCAUCAGCCUCUGGGCUCAACAAAUGCAAACUCAUGACCAGCAGAGCAAACAAUCAAAACCGAAAGAUGCUCAACUGUUAGGCCAACACCUAAGCUACCAAUAGAUAAGUUACUGGGAGGGAUAAAUCAUAGGUGGCAGCAAGCUGGCCUGCUACAGAUCCCUACGCAGAGCUAUCAUACUAGGAGACCACUUUACUACAAUGAAAUAUGCAAAACUAAGGCAGAUUCUCACCAAAUCAGUGACCACAAACUAGAGGUGGAAAUGAGGAUGUACAAAGCACAGUCUAAACCCAGAGAGGUGUGACCGCAUGGCCAGUGUAACAGAGGACAGAUUAAGACAGACAGACACUUUCUGUUCCAAUGUCUCAAAUAUGAGGAAGUGAGCCAAAUAUUUCUUCAAAUGAUCUGGAACCUUAGGACAUCUCAUCCAAAAGUGAUGAGGAAAAACUGUCUGGUCCUGUCAGAGAGAGGUGGCACAGAUGUCAUUGUGCCACAUAGCAACCUGGCACUCGGUCAGCAGUGGUCGGCAAUGACAAAUGGACAUGGAGGGAGCAAGAG